UUCCGAUGCAAUGAUGAUAUUCUUAUUCCCAGCUCAUUAUGAGACCUACUCAAAGGUCUGGGAAAAGAUUGUUUGACAUAUAUCUGAGCACAAUU
rnacentral:snoRNA from 1 species